CGCCUUUUGAAAAAUUAUAAAAGGUCCAGCCUGCCCAGUGACCAAGUUAAACGGCCGCGGUACCCUAACCGUGCGAAGGUAGCGCAAUCACUUGUUCUUUAAAUAAGGACUAGUAUGAACGGCAUCACGAGGAUUAUACUGUCUCCCCCCCUAAAUCAAUGAAACUGAUCCCCCCGUGAAGAAGCGGGGAUAAAAAUAUAAGACGAGAAGACCCUAUGGAGCUUUAAACUCAACACCACCUACCUCGACCAACUCCCUCACAAACAGGUAAAGAUCGUGUACGUUUUCAGUUGGGGUGACUGCGGAGCAAAAUAAAACCUCCACGAUGAAAAACAGCCUCUAAUCCAAGAACAACAUUUCAAAGAAUCAACAAAUUGACAUCAAUUGACCCAAAUAAUAAUUUGAUCAACGAACCAAGUUACCCUAGGGAUAACAGCGCAAUCCAUUUCAAGAGCUCAUAUCGACAAAUGGGUUUACGACCUCGAUGUUGGAUCAGGGUAUCCCAGUGGUGCAGCCGCUACUAAAGGUUCGUUUGUUCAACGAUUAAAACCCUACGUGAUCUGAGU
rnacentral:rRNA from 1 species